rnacentral:rRNA from 1 species
AUUCCAGCUCCAAUAGCGUAUAUUAAAGUUGUUGCAGUUAAAAAGCUCGUAGUUGGAUUUCUGGGCUGAGCGACCGGUCCGCCGCUGUGCGGUGUGUACUCGUGUUCGACUCGGCUCAUCCUUGUGGGGAAACGCAUUUCGGCAUUAGGUUGUCGAGGCGGGGAACCGCAUCGUUUACUGUGAAAAAAUUAGAGUGUUUAAAGCAGGCAAAUUGCUGUGAAUACAUUAGCAUGGAAUAAUAACAUAGGACUUUGGUUCUAUUUUGUUGGUUGGAGGCCAAGGUAAUGAUUAAUAGGGAUAGUUGGGGGUAUUCAUAUUUAAUUGUCAGAGGUGAAAUUCUUGGAUUUAUGAAAGAUGAACUCAUGCGAAAGCAUUUACCAAGGAUGUUUUCAUUA